rnacentral:rRNA from 1 species
GGCCGCGGUAAUACGGAGGGUGCAAGCGUUGUCCGGAAUUAUUGGGCGUAAAGCGCACGUAGGCGGUUCUUUAAGUCUCGCUGUGAAAGCCCGGGGCUCAACCCCGGGAGGCCAGGGGAUACUGCUGGACUGGAGACAGGCAGAGGCUGGUGGAAUUCCGGGUGUAGCGGUGGAAUGCGUAGAGAUCCGGAGGAACACCGGAGGCGAAGGCGGCCAGCUGGGCCUGAUCUGACGCUGAGGUGCGAAAGCGUGGGGAGCGAAC